rnacentral:rRNA from 2 species
UUUAAUUGAAGAGUUUGAUCAUGGCUCAGAUUGAACGCUGGCGGCAGGCCUAACACAUGCAAGUCGAACGGUAACAGGAAGCAGCUUGCUGCUU